rnacentral:rRNA from 1 species
AUAUCAAUAAGCGGAGGAAAAGAAACCAACAGGGAUUGCCUCAGUAACGGCGAGUGAAGCGGCAAAAGCUCAAAUUUGAAACCGUUCGCGGGUUGUAAUUUGAAGAUUGUAUUCUGGCAGUGCCCACACCUAUGUUCCUUGGAACAGGACGUCACAGAGGGUGAGAAUCCCGUGCGGCGUGGUCCCCACUGCCUUAUAGAAUGCUCUCGACGAGUCGAGUUGUUUGGGAAUGCAGCUCCAAGUGGGUGGUAAAUUCCAUCUAAAGCUAAAUACUGGCGAGAGACCGAUAGCGAACAAGUACCGUGAGGGAAAGAUGAAAAGCACUUUGAAAAGAGAGUGAAACAGUACGUGAAAUUGUUAAAAGGGAAGGGUAUGGUGUUAGCGCGUUAGUAUGAGUUGGGAGGGAAGGAUAACAGCAUUGGAACGUGGCCUUCGGGUGUUAUAGCCAGUGCCAAUACUUCUCGCUCGACUGAGGCCUGCUUUCAGGAUACU